GAUCCUGGCUCAGAUUGAACGCUGGCGGCAGGCUUAACACAUGCAAGUCGAGCGGAGAUGAGGUGCUUGCACCUUAUCUUAGCGGCGGACGGGUGAGUAAUGCUUAGGAAUCUGCCUAUUAGUGGGGGACAACAUUCCGAAAGGAAUGCUAAUACCGCAUACGUCCUACGGGAGAAAGCAGGGGAUCUUCGGACCUUGCGCUAAUAGAUGAGCCUAAGUCGGAUUAGCUAGUUGGUGGGGUAAA
rnacentral:rRNA from 1 species